UAUUCGUUCAGGCCGCAUAGUCGCCCGCCGCCGGAUGCUGCUCCGCCCCGAGCACCGUCAGUGGCCCCGUCGCCUCCUCAGGCAUGCCCUCUUCAUCCUCCGAGCUUCCCUCGUCGCACCGCGGACCACCUGCUCCUCCUGAUGCACCGGCUGUCUCCUACCUCGGGGUCCGGUGAGCGGCGUCGGCAGCCACGGCGAACUGCCACGGGUGCGGCCAAUCCGAGCUCCUGUUGGUAGGUUAAUCCAAAAAGAAAAAGAAUCCACGCACUACACGACCCCGUCCUCCAAUACGCCACCUGCUCCCAUCCAUGUAGCACCGCCGCUCGCUUCAGCUCCUGCUCGUCGAUCGCCGCCGUGUGGAGCCACCUUCCCAGCGCGCCGCUCCGCCUGCGUACACCGGGGAUUUAGUCCAGGCCCUCCACCGGCUCAAGACCCAGUGGCUCUCUGCUCCUCAACGCCCCACAUCGAGCGCCCAAUCCAGGAAAACAACCCCGUCGCGCUGCCGCUCCCCAUCUCCCUGCGUCGUCCCAAGAUGGUCGGGCUGGGCACCACCCCGGCGGCCGAGCGUGUGCUUUCCACGGAAGCCAGCUCCUCCACCCAGACCCUUCUCUACAAGGACGGCGAGGACACUGCUUCGUCAUAACUGAUCGUGACGACCACGCGCAAUCCAAUUGGGAGGUAUUUAUAAGCACCAAUGUAUCCUUGGUUUAGUUCCCAUAUCUUGAAUUACUGAUCAAAUGCAAGGAUUGCAUAUAAAGUAAUUGGGUUUGGCCUUUGUGAGGAAUGCUACAGCAGCACUUCAAACCUCCCAUGCCGCUUUCAUCAGCAGCAUAGAACUUGAUAAUACAUCACUGUAGGAUGCAUUCAUGAGAUUCCAAUGGAUACCCACGGAAGGUCCACAAUAGCUGAUUGUAGAAGAAUUUGUUGUAUCUAGCGAAGUUAAUUCUGGGAGCAAUCCUUGAAUAUUGCAGGGGUCGAUUUAAAUGAAUGUAGUGUGCUAACAUGGUGCAUCGUUGGAGAUGUAUUUAUUAUUCGCUUACUGGUUAGUACUUGGAAAGUUAGUUGACACAUAUCUAUGAUAAUAGAAGUAAUAAUUAUUUGACAAUAGGAAUAAGCAUAUAGUAUUUGUUUCCACUUCUUAAUAAAUAGGUUUCUUGUUUUCUUUGUGUUCAGUCCACAAGAUAGGUGCAUGUUGUUUCUAAUCAUGACAUUCUGGAAUUCAAGCUUUUCUGUUUGUGCUCAACUGAACAAAAGCUCGAUGUGGGAUGUUACUUUCCCCAAUGAUAGAGGGUCUUUGUUUCAAACUCAUGAAUAUGUUCCCCACAAUAGGAAGAAUGUAAUAUUGCUUAGCAUGUCUCCUUGAAGUACAGGCAUCCAAGAUUGCCAUACAAAAUAUAAUGGCUUUGACGUUAAUUUAGAGUACAAUUUUACCUUCUCAAGAAAUUUCAACACUGAAGAUGGAGUCUAUGUUAAUUGUGAUACAUGUGGCAUUUGAAGUAGUAAUUCCACUCAAAGUUUAGAUUAUACUUAAGUGUGGGUUCAAAAUUCCAUCUGUAUCUUCGUAUAAGAAUUCAUGUUUUUGUUUUUUGCACAAGUCCAUAUGACCUGAUUUAUCUAUAUGGACUAUCAUUGACGCGCUUAAAUGUAUUCUCGACAUUUUUUCAGAAAACCAGAUGAUCGAGGUGAGAAAAAAAAUGUGUGUUGCUUUUAUCUAGGAAAACUGACACUCAGAUGCACAUGCCAAGAUCACCAUUGAUUUAUUGCCUGUUUAACAACACAGAAAGAAGAAUUGCUACACCGGAACCUGGGCCAUGCGGUGAUUGAUAUUUUAGUUGCGCGACUGUUUCCAUGCUGUUCAUUUGAGGUAAAUUUUAAAAUGAUGCAUUGCUUCUCCUUACUAUAUGUCGAUGCUUGCAUAGUUUAAUCUAUCCGGUGUAUACACAGCUCUUCUUGGUGAUCGUGUUUUUCAUGGUGUGUCGAUGUGUAUCACAAGCUAACAGGCAGACAUAGAUAAAUUGUAAUUAUGGUUGUAUAAUGAUUGGUUUGGUAAAAGCUCAUGUGUUAUAUGUUUUGGCGGGUUUUGGUAAAACCACUUCUGAACUUCAGAGAUAUAUGUUUGGUGCUUGCUCCACACAUAUGUAUGUUGCUCCAGCUCAUGCAUUCGUUUGGUCUGACCAUGGUGCGUGGCCUCUACAAUUUAAGAAUUAAGAACUCUUCCCGGCCAUCAAGGAUGUACGAAGUACUUGAGUUGUACAAGAACUGAAUUACAUUAUUUCUAUUUUAUACAGCAACAAGGACCCAGAUUUGUGAUUUUUAUAUGUAAAGAAAACCAUAUGAAAUUUUCAUGUAACUGUUAUUGUGUAACUUAUCUUCAUCUCUAAGAAUAUGGAUGAUCUUUACUUUUGAAAUCCAGUACUUUGAGUUGAG